UUCUCCUCCUUAAGAUGUUAAUGAGAUGCUGACAAGUAUUUGGUAUUUUUAGCACAAUUAACUCUAGGGCUAUGUUUGCUCUUUUCAAGCUAUUUUUCAAUGUGCUUUAUUUCUUAAGUAGCUCAUGAUAUAAUUAGGAAUAGUUAUACAGUUCAGGCAAAAACCACAGAAACAACAAAACCCAGCCCUUCUGGAUUCUACUGAAAGAAAAAAAAAAAAAGGGGGGGAAAAAAAAAAAAAGAGAAGAUUUUUGAGGAAGGUUUUAAUAAAUGUUAUACAGAUUACAUCUAGGCAAUUAAAGUCGAACCCAUCCUGGUGUAUGAUAUUAAGGAUUCUGUUUUGAAAAAUGAGCUUUUCUCUACUUAUUCCUUGAAGUUAACAGCCACUCAGUGAAAACAAAAGCUCGUGCUGAAGACUGGAGAAGAUAGAGGAUGGAGUAACCUAUCCAGAAAGAAGAACUGCAGAAACUUGCUGUUUUCAAGAUCUGGGAAAGCUUUCUCGUGCAAGGAGCAUAAACAUUCACUGGCUUGUUUCAGUCAAUGUGAAUGCCAGGAGCAGAAUGGAGAAAUCCUGGUUCCCACCUCUGAGGCAGAAGAACAUAUUCAUCUGCACUUUUCACUUGGCUGUUUUGGAUUCUCUGAACUUCUGAGCUGAAAAAGUGAUGCACAGGGCACAGACUGAGUAGCUCCAUGGAAAUCAGCAGACAUCACUGAUCCCCUGAGGAGCUCAGCUGACUAAUGUUGAGAGCUUGUUUCACCAACAGGCUGAGAUGAUUAAGAUGUUGGGACAUGGAGGAUCUGUAUCAAACAGACACAGGAACAAGCACACUGGGAUUCAAUUAAAGGAGAUUCAGCUUCAAUAUUGACACUUCCCUUAAACUCAGAGACAGUCUAAACAGGUCUUUUCCUUCUCAUUUCUCAAGGUAUCUAGACAAAUGGCAAUAAAUGUUCAAAUCUUGAGUUUGACGUAUGUCAUUUCACCAUGACUCAGACAGCGAAUACAGAUGAAGAAAAAUAGGAGGGAUGAUUUUGUGAUCAGUAUCUUGACUUAAAGUUAUUUAAUUCCUUAAAUCUUAAGUGUCUGUCGCUAUUUUCUCAAUAGCAACAAAGGUUUGAAAGUUAAUAUUCUUGAAAAUAUUUUCAGUAGUAGAGGUAUUGUACUUUCUGUACAUGUGUAUACAUACUGCACCAACAGGAAACAUGAACUAUAGUGGUAAAUAUGUGUCUGAUUAUACUGGUUACUUUUUCAGUAUACAAAUCACUUGUCAAUUUUGGAAGGCCGUGUUUUCAAAGAUAGAAAUGAAGUCAUUAUUUGUACUGGUUUGCUGUUGUAAUUUGGACUGAUUCUGAUAACAAGUUCAUUUUAAGCAUUCUGCACCUGAAGAAUUAAGAACAUAUCUUAUGCACUUCCACUGUAAACAUAUCCACAUGUAUCUAAGCUUUUACUACUCGAUCAACAGUAAGGCACAAAAGAAUUGUUUCCACAGAAAGUUGAAAGUCUGUAUUCUGUAUCAAUUCUGAUAGCCACUAAUCACAAUAAUCUUGUUCAGCAUUCAGAUUGCUAGAAGAAUGCCACUGCCUGGAAAUUCAGUGCUUUAUUCCAGGACUGAGUCACUUAAGGUGACUCAAAACCAUUAUUUUCAUUGCAGUGUAUUGCCUAAUUAGCAACUCAAUUAAUAGUUUAUAACUUAAGCCAUUUGCUGGGUUUUCACUUUGGUUCAUGUAAAAAGGUAGGUUUUUGCAAAACACGUUUUUUCCUUAUGAAUAUUUCACUCCAAUAGGAAAAGCACAGUGUUUUCAAAACAGAGCACAUCAAAUUACAACAAAGUAAAACUUGUGUUUUGUCAGAAUAUUCCAGCCAGAAUACCCACUCCAUAAUAGCAGGCAUAAUUUCUGAAGCAUCUAGGAUAUGUAGUUAAAAAGAAGAAUUCUGAAGAUAAGUCUCAGCCUUGAAAGUCUCUUGAAAGUGAAAAGUGAUGCAGGACAACAGCAAAAACAGGGUAGUAUUUGAACCCCAGUAACAGCAAAAACAGGGUAGUAUUUGAACCCCAGUAAAAUCUGUAUCAAAAUCCUUGUCUUUGGUGGAACAUCAGUUCUUCCACAAGCUGUAGCAAAUCAGUAAAGCUUACUGUGAACUUCAUGCAUUCUGCAGCUUUGCAGAACACUCCGAAGUAUUUCAUAAAAUCUCCCAAAGCAUCUGAAAAAAAUUAUUGAGAAAUGACUGAAAAGGUUAAAAGUGAAAAGAGAGAGAAGAAAAACAAAGUCAUGCUGAACCAGGAAAGCAAAUUUUAGGGUUGAAAGCAGGUGAGAUGUACUGACAAUUAUAGGAGAGAUCUUGCUUAGCCAGAGCUCGUUUUCCCUGCAGAAGAGCAACAAAGGUGAAAUAAGUGAGUAGUCCAUUUUCACUAACAUCUACCUUGUUGUAGGGCUAUAACAAUAUGUUUUAGCUGCUGCAAGUAACUGAAAUUAGUAGGAUAUACCAUGGAAUUUGUUGUAAUCUGAAUGAAAAUCACAAGUAUUUAACUUUUUAUGUUCCAAAUGUCUAGAGGUUAAAAUCACAUAAGCUGUCAGAAAAUCUCCUGAGAAGCACAGAAAGACACAUUCCUUUUAAGUCCCAUCUAGGAUGGACAAAAUAUGCUAAGCAGAGCAGGACUGGACUGCUGAAUACAUGCACUGGAUGCUCUACUUGGACAUUGCUGCUUUUAAAUCACAUUAAUUCCCUCUAAUGUUAUGUUAAUGUUUUGAGGCAAAGCCAAAGUCUCCUAAGAAAAUUUGCCUGUCUUUUUAAGAUAGAAAGCUAACUAAACCUUCAGAGAUGUUCCCAGAAAAUCUUCAUGGCUGGUAGAUGAGAGAGAGCUCCUGAAAGAAGGAAUUUAUUUUCCCUUCUUUUUUUCCUGGACAUUCCUCCUGAAACACAUCUAAAGCAAUAUUUUAUAAAUACGGUCUUUCUGUAGGAUUUUGAAGUCUCUGCUGGAGUAAGGUCCAUGACUACUAUUUGGACAUAUAUGAGCAGAGAUGAGCUGAAGGGUAUAAGCAGAUGGCAGUGGUGACCUGGCAGUGGAGGCCAGGCAUAGCAGCACAGAUUUAGAGGAGCACAGCAAGAUCUGUGCCAAAACUGUCAGAUUCUCUCAUCCAGACAUCCACCAUAUUCUCACAGUACAUGUAGUAAGAUAUUUAGUGUUCACCCACUCAAAAUUAUCUGAAAAAUGAAAUACCGUCUUACUCUAAAAUGUCCCACUAUCAAUCUUUGUAAAGUUCUCUCUUCUCUAUUGUAUGUCACAACUGAAUGGAAGACAAUGGAAUAGAAAAGCAAAGCUCCUACAGAGUACCAUAAAAAGAGGCAUAUUUUCAUGAAGGUCUCUAUACCUUACACUUCAUAGGACUUAUUUCCAAGAAUGUGGCCUGGCUAUGUGUUAACAGCAACAGCAGAAAUAAUCUGAAGAUACUGUGACCCAUUCCAGAAUGAUGUUGCCCAAAAAGGGACAUCUUGCAGGCUGCAGUAGUUGUGGUUGGUCUCAGACAGAGACUUGCAACCUGCUUCCAGGCUGAUGAGGGUUUUUUAGCCUCAGGAAUGGGUAAGUGAUUGGGUGAGGCCUGGAUGCUGUAUGAAAAUUUCAUGCUUGCAGUGUCUAUGAAGAUAGCAUGUUUGUUGUGCCUUUGUCACAGCAUGAUGACAAUCUCGCACUCAUCUCUCACUCCUAACAAAGGGCUGACCUGGGCUGCAUGGCAUAUAGGUAUGUCCUUUUGAUAUAAGACUGCCACAAGACACCAGAGUUUAAUCAGUGAUGAAAAGACCCUGAAAGUAUGCGGAUUUGCUGCAUGGCUGACAAGUGUUCUGUAUGGAGAUCCAUCCAAAGGGAUGUGAUAGGUGCAGCUCCUUCCUUUAUUCUUUCACAGGUGGUACCUGUACUUGGGGCUGCUGGGUAUGUGCCAUGCUCCACCUGAGGAAUAUCUGCAGUGUGCUUAGAGAUGUUCUGACGUGCACCCAAACGACAGCUGUGCACUGCCAUUUUCCUCCAGCCAAAUUGUAUUCCGAAGUCACCCCCCUCAUACUCAUGGGUACUAUUGUUGUGCAAAAUGGACAAAACCAGAAGCUCCUUUGAUGCUGUUAUAUCUAAAUAUGCACUCUGUAUAGAUUCAGAGUAUCUGUGACAUGCAGAAUUUCUCUAAAACCCCUGAGUCUUACACUGCUUUCAAUUUGAGAAAUACAGCAUAAAUAAUAAAUAUAUUGAAAUCAGUGGAAUAUAUUUCAAGUGAGCUUUAAUAUAUAUUAAUAUGUAUCAUACUGAU